GACGAACGCUGGCGGCGUGCUUAACACAUGCAAGUCGAACGAAGUGGCGCACGGGUGAGUAACGCGUAAUCAACCUGCCCUUCAGAGGGGGACAACAGUUGGAAACGACUGCUCAUACCGCAUACUGACGGCGGGGAUUCCGUCUGCUUAGCUAGUUGGAGGGGUAACGGCCCACCAAGACGAUGAUCGGUAGCCGGGCUGAGAGGAUGAACGGCCACAUUGGGACUGAGACACGGACCAGACUCCUACGGGAGGCAGCAGUGGGGAAUCUUCCGAAAUGGACGAAAGGCUGACGGAGCAACGCCGGGGGAAUGAUGACGGCCUUCGGGUUGUAAAGCUCUGUUAAUCGGGACGCGGUACCGGAAUAGAAAGCCACGGCUAACUACGUGCCAGCAGCCGCGGUAAUAC
rnacentral:rRNA from 1 species